CGUUUGACGUUUCCAAAAAUCAAAACAAAAUACGUGUUCGGUCUGUUCCCCACUUGUAAUCGAUUUGUCCUUGUCGUUUUAAAUUAUUAACAGAAAACAUGCCCGAAAACUCGUUUAGACGUCCGAACAUUCCUAUCUGUGUUGCCUUCGUUGUGGAUAUUAAAAAACGGAUGGAGAUCCUAUGGACCGGACGAUUCAUAUAAUGACGAUAACGGCAAUGAUCUGUGCUUUUGGUCAAAAGGUGUUUCCGGCUACCGUCUGCUCGAAAAAUCGAAUAAAAGGCCCCACCAUCAAACCACAUCUAAAAGUGUUGCGCGCUUUUCGGCGCAAAAUCAAAUUCUUGAGCUAUUCUGAUGUGUUCUGUGAGCUUAGGAUUAUGGAAAUGAAUUCCGAUACGGAAGAAAACAACGCAAUGAUGAAAAAGACCAGUCUCAACGGCAGCUGACUUUUUCAAGCAUAUCCAACAUUCAAGCCCAGGGCCAUAUCGAGAAUCUGCAGCUUCAAACCAAGGCGUCGAAAUAGCAGAAAGUCCGUCGUCUGAAUUAAUAAAUGAUUCACAAAGCGAAAUGGAAUGCAACAGUUUAUCACAGUUGAAGAUGAACGGAAGUGAUAAAAAUCGAUUCCCAGUAUCUGGGCAGAAUCCAUCGAUGAAUAUGUUGAAUUCUGAUGAUGAUUUUAAUGGAUGAAAUGAAUAUUACUCAAAAUGAAACUUUAUUGCCGCAGAAUAUCUUCUCGAGUCAUUCCUAAUUCUUUAUGUCUUAUAGAUCCACUUAGUCCCUAUUAUCACUGAUAUCUAACGCAAAACUCUGUGUAUUAUAUAUAAAAAUGAUACGUUUUAUUUCAAUAAAAUCAUGUAUCACAUA